GAAAUGCCGCCGCUGCCCCCCCGCCCGUUGUCGGUAGGUGCUCAGGGCGCAAAGCACGGAACGGCAGCGCCGGUGCCGCCCGUGAGCAAGUGCCAGGGCCGAUCCGUGUCAGUAACGGUCCCUGCUGCUGCCGGCUCUGUCCCACCUCCUGAGGCCGCGCUGGGGCCGCGCGGGUCAGUUCCUGCCCUGGGCAUGCCGCCGACCGCGCCCAGCUGGGGGUGUCUCUGCCCGGCCUGGCGCUUCUCACGGCUCAGGGGCCAAAAGGGACGGGCGGAACCUUCCUGGCCGUGGGCAGCGGGCGGGAGCCGCCGCGGCUGGAGCUGGAGGGGCCAGAGAAAGGGAAGGACGGAGAACAUCGAGGGCACAUGGGCAGCAGCCGCCUGGCCCUGCAGGAGGAGAGCGCCUGCCUCUCCGGGGGGAGGUCAGCCAGGCGAGUGGAGUUUCAGAAGAAGAGGAGGGGCAGGAGGAAGGAAGGAGAAAGAAGCAUCUGAUCUGUCCAAUUCUCCCGGCAGUGCCUUUCUCUUGUCUUGCUGCUCCCUUUUCUUUUUCUGUCUGCACUUCUGA
rnacentral:lncRNA from 1 species